rnacentral:lncRNA from 1 species
UCAUUGCCUCUUUUAUCUGCCUCCUUAACUUCUUCUCUAAGAUAUGUUCAUGUUCUUGUUCUUGAUUCCUGUUGUUGUGUGUUUAGAUCUGUUUAUCUUCUUGAUUUUCUUUCUUGUUCUUAAUUAAUUUGUGUUUUGAGAUUGUGGUUGUUUGUGGUGAGGGAUGGGCUCGAAAAGAAAGGAGGAGAUCCAAACUGUCAUUGUUGUUGUGGGUGGGGGUGGUAGGGAAAAGGGGGCUUCCAGUUUGAAUUUGGAUUUAUGGGGUUUGGUGGGUGGG